rnacentral:rRNA from 1 species
UAUCCUGUCUGAAUAUGGGGGGACCAUCCUCCAAGGCUAAAUACUCCUGACUGACCGAUAGUGAACCAGUACCGUGAGGGAAAGGCGAAAAGAACCCCGGCGAGGGGAGUGAAAAAGAACCUGAAACCGUGUACGUACAAGCAGUGGGAGCACAGAGCAAUCUGUGUGACUGCGUACCUUUUGUAUAAUGGGUCAGCGACUUAUAUUCUGUAGCAAGGUUAACCGAAUAGGGGAGCCGAAGGGAAACCGAGUCUUAACCGGGCGUUAAGUUGCAGGGUAUAGACCCGAAACCCGGUGAUCUAGCCAUGGGCAGGUUGAAGGUUGGGUAACACUAACUGGAGGACCGAACCGACUAAUGUUGAAAAAUUAGCGGAUGACUUGUGGCUGGGGGUGAAAGGCCAAUCAAACCGGGAGAUAGCUGGUUCUCCCCGAAAGCUAUUUAGGUAGCGCCUCGUGAAUUCAUCUCCGGGGGUAGAGCACUGUUUCGGCAAGGGGGUCAUCCCGACUUACCAACCCGAUGCAAACUGCGAAUACCGGAGAAUGUUAUCACGGGAGACACACGGCGGGUGCUAACGUCCGUCGUGAAGAGGGAAACAACCCAGACCGCCAGCUAAGGUCCCAAAGUCAUGGUUAAGUGGGAAACGAUGUGGGAAGGCCCAGACAGCCAGGAUGUUGGCUUAGAAGCAGCCAUCAUUUAAAGAAAGCGUAAUAGCUCACUGGUCGAGUCGGCCUGCGCGGAAGAUGUAACGGGGCUAAACCAUGCACCGAAGCUGCGGCAGCGACACUGUGUGUUGUUGGGUAGGGGAGCGU